GAUUAAGAUGCGUAAAAUGUGCAACUUAUUUUGAGGUGUGUCACUAGUAUUACUCUUAUACACUUUUUAUAGGAGUGUAUCUUUAUAUGUAAUAAAUAUACACAUUUUAUACUCUUCAAAUAAAGGAUUGAUACACUCAUUUGGAGUUUUAUUAAAAAACUAAAAGCAAUAUGACUUAUACACUUCGAAAUAGAGUGUAUAUCUUGCAUUCCUUUUUAUAAAAAACCAUUUUUUUUACUUAUCGCAUCAUUUUUUUAUUUUUUAUUAAAAAUUAAUUGUAAUUUUUUUGAACCUUAGGAUGGGAGUGUCACAUGUAAGUAGAAGUUUCUGAAAAAUAAAAGGUAGAUUAUACUUUUGUUCCUUAAGCUAUAAGAUAUGUAACACUUUAGUUCUCAAAUUUUAAUUAUAAUUUUUACCUCAAAUUAUGAGAUGCAUGAUAUUUUAAUCCUCAAACUUUAAUUAGUUAAAAUUUCUGAUUUGAGAAAUGAGAUAUGUGACAUUUUAGUUUUCAAACAUUUUGAACUAGAGUAAUAUCUUACUUGACAAUACAACAAUGAUUAAAAAACUACAUUACUUCAGUAUUAGUAACUUAUCAAUACUUAUUCAAAUAAAAUUAAGUUCCGAAAAUUAAUUGUAAUAAUUUAAAAAUUUUGAGAACUAAAUUGUCAUAUGUCUUAUUAUUCAAGUCAAAAAUUAUUAAUUUAUUAAAGUUUUAGUACAAAAGUGUCAUGCGUCUUAUAGUAUGAGUAAAAAAUUACAACUAAUUAAAGUUCGAGGACUAUAAUUUCCGGACCAAAAUUGUAAUUUACCCAAAAGUAAAAUGAGUAAUGCUAUAAGUUUUUGGUAAUGAAACUUUUUUAUUUGAUCGGAAUCGAUUUUGGGCUUCUAAUUUUAUAUCCAGUCUGGUUUAGAUACAGUUGUGGAUUUGAAUAUUUUAUUCGGAUUUGAUUUUUGUAAGAUUUUGACGGAACAUCGUCAAGAGGGAUAUUUAUGAUUUUUUUUUUUAGUUUAGAAGAAAAUUCAUGAUAUUUUGAAUUUUAGGGGGGUAGUAACAAAAUUUUAUG
rnacentral:lncRNA from 1 species